rnacentral:tRNA from 1 species
AAAAAUUUAAUUUAAUUAAAAAUAUUAAUUUUGUAAAUUAAAAAUGAAAAAAAAUUCAAUUUUUA